UUGGAUGGAUGGUUCACAUAUGAACAUUCCAUAUGACUAUUCCACAACAAAAAUUAAGCUUACAAGAUGGUCACCUUCAAAUCAUCAAUUAAGACAUUAUGUCUACACAUUGUUAGAAAAUACACAUCUCUUUUUCCCUUAUCCUCCGACAUCUUAUAAGAAAAUGUUGCAUGCAUAAUGAUUAAUGACCUUUGAACCUUCAGCACCGUGGUUGGGCAAAAUACAAUACUAUAGUAAUAAAUGGUGCAGGGAUAGUGAUUAAGUCCCUUUGAAACUUCAACAACAUGGUUCAUAAACAAAGAAAAAUAAAUAAUAAUUACCUACAUACGUAGUUUCUCCUCUAGUUGCUAAAAAAACGUAGUUUCUCCUCCAUGCACACAUUAUUGUCUUCUCCAGACAUCUAAAUUUUAAUGAAUUUCUACAAGUUUGCUUGGUGAGGUUGCAUUUCUUAUUGCCCAAGUUGAAAGUUCCUGGAGAACAGACCCUCGAUGUUCUUGGGAAGAACGAGAGAAGCACGGCCCACCAGCGGUGGAUAUGCAUGUGACUUGUGUAAUUACAACCUAUCUGGCCUAUGAAUUGCAGAAAUUAUGAAAAUCGUUUUGUGAGAACUAAAUAAAUUGAUAAUGCAUAUAUCAGGACUAUGAAGAUUCACAAGAAAGAUGGCACCACAUCGGAGAAAUAGAUGGCUUUGUCAAAAGGUGAACUCACCUCCAGGUGAUGAAAGCGAGGUUGACAUGUUGAUGAACUCAUGUGACCUCCAUGGUGACCAUGUGUGAUCUCCAGCGUGAUCUCCCAGCUAUGUAUCGCCUGUGCUUGAUGGUGAGUACUUGAGGCAGGGGUGUUCAUGAAUGACCAAUCCUGUAACAGAAGUUGUUUAAAUACGUACUACCAAAUA
rnacentral:lncRNA from 1 species